CCCGCUGAACUUAAGCAUAUUACUAAGCGGUGGAAAAGAAACUAACUAGGAUUCCCAUAGUAAUGGCGAAUGAAGUGGGAACAGCUCAGGUUUGAAAUCCGGCGGCCUCGCCGCCUGAAUUGUAGUCUUUGGUCCGGGCAUGGAGGAGGCGGUCAGCAUAAGUCUCUUGGAACGGAGCGCCAUAGAGGGUGAUAGCCCCGUGCAUGGCUGACGAUCAAGCCCCCUCGUACCUUGUUCGGAUUUAGAGUCGGGUUGUUUGGGAAUGCAGCCUGAAAGGGGUGGUAAAUUCCAUCUAAGGCUAAGUAAUGGUUGGAGACCGAUAGCGAACAAGUAGCGCGAGCGAAAGAUGAAAAGUAGCCAGAAAUGGCGGUCAAAAGUGCUUGAAAUUGUUAAAAGGGAAACGUUUGGAGCCAGUAUUGACGCGCGGACGAGUCGGGCUCGCGCGGGUGUCGCUGGUUCGUCGAGGAGGCUCCCAUCGGGUCACUCGGCGGCGCCAGCAGCGUCCGAGCAGGUCGUACUUCAGCUGCGUGUUGGCCAGCAUCGGUUCGGCGAGUGGUAAAAGGGUGGCGGGAAGGUGAGGUCGCUUCGGCGGCCUGUUAAGACCGCUACUGAUGCCACUCGCGUGGACCGAGGCCUCGAAAGAGGGCAGCGUGUGCCUCGGCUGGGCUCUGGCUGUUCAUCUGGGGUGGGUGCGUGCGGGACUGGUACAGUGCCGUGUGUGCUCGCCUUUGACUGGGCGGCCAUUCCACAUACACGCUCAAGAUACUGGCAAAAUGGCUCCAAACGACCCGUCUUGAAACACGG
rnacentral:rRNA from 1 species